rnacentral:rRNA from 1 species
GAUGAACGCUAGCGGCAGGCUUAAUACAUGCAAGUCGAGGGGUAACAGGUCUGUAGCAAUACAGAUGCUGACGACCGGCAAACGGGUGCGGAACACGUACAGAACCUUCCUUCGAGUGGGAGAUAGCCCAGGGAAACUUGGAGUAAUAUCCCAUAGGAUCAUAGAGUGGCAUCACUUAGUGAUUAAAGAUUUAUCGCUUGAAGAUGGCUGUGCGGCUGAUUAGGUAGUUGGUGUAGGUAACGGCUCACCAAGCCUUCGAUCAGUAACUGGUGUGAGAGCACGACCAGUCACACGGGCACUGAGACACGGGCCCGACUCCUACGGGAGGCAGCAGUAAGGAAUAUUGGGCAAUGGAGGCAACUCUGACCAGCCAUGCCGCGUGGAGGAUGAAGGUCCUCUGGAUUGUAAACUUCUUUUAUUUGGGAAGAAAUGCCGAUUUUCUAAUUGGUUUGACGGUACCAGAUGAAUAAGCACCGGCUAACUCCGUGCCAGCAGCCGCCGUAAAAC